rnacentral:rRNA from 1 species
UUUUUUUUCUGCUCAGGACGAACGCUGGCGGCGUGCCUAAUACAUGCAAGUCGAGCGGACCGACGGGAGCUUGCUCCCUUAGGUCAGCGGCGGACGGGUGAGUAACACGUGGGUAACCUGCCUGUAAGACUGGGAUAACUCCGGGAAACCGGGGCUAAUACCGGAUGCUUGAUUGAACCGCAUGGUUCAAUCAUAAAAGGCGGCUUCGGCUGCCGUUUACAGAUGGACCCGCGGCGCAUUAGCUAGUUGGUGAGGUAACGGCUCACCAAGGCGACGAUGCGUAGCCGACCUGAGAGGGUGAUCGGCCACACUGGGACUGAGACACGGCCCAGACUCCUACGGGAGGCAGCAGUAGGGAAUCUUCCGCAAUGGACGAAAGUCUGACGGAGCAACGCCGCGUGAGUGAUGAAGGUUUUCGGAUCGUAAAGCUCUGUUGUUAGGGAAGAACAAGUACCGUUCGAAUAGGGCGGUACCUUGACGGUACCUAACCAGAAAGCCACGGCUAACUACGUGCCAGCAGCCGCGGUAAUACGUAGGUGGCAAGCGUUGUCCGGAAUUAUUGGGCGUAAAGCGCGCGCAGGCGGUUUCUUAAGUCUGAUGUGAAAGCCCCCGGCUCAACCGGGGAGGGUCAUUGGAAACUGGGGAACUUGAGUGCAGAAGAGGAGAGUGGAAUUCCACGUGUAGCGGUGAAAUGCGUAGAGAUGUGGAGGAACACCAGUGGCGAAGGCGACUCUCUGGUCUGUAACUGACGCUGAUGGCAGCGGAAAGCGUGGGUGAGCGAACAGGAUUAGAUACCCUGGUAGUCCACGCCGUAAACGAUGAGUGCUACUGGUUGUUAGAGGGUUUCUGCCCUUUCAUUGGCUGCAGCAAACGCAUUAAGCUAAUUAUUCACCCCGGGGGGAGUACGCGCCCAAGGGAAAAACUCUAAAAGAAUUGGGGGGGCCCCCCCAAGGGGGGGGUAAUGUGUUUUAAUUUUGAAAAACGCGGAAAAACCCUCCCCCUUUUUUGAUUUCUGAAAAACUUAAAAAAUUUGGGGUUGCCCGAAAGAGGGCCUGGUGACGGGUGGUGCAUGGCUGUCCUCGCCUCGUGUCGUGAGAUGUUGGGUUAAGUCCCGCAACGAGCCCAACCCUUGUUGUUAGUUGCUCCUAUUGGGAACUCUACUCUGACUGCCGGUGACAACCCAGAGGAAGGUGGGGAUGACGUCAAAUCAUCACGGCCCUUACCUCUUGGGCUACACACGUCAUACAAUGGCCGGUACAGAAAGCAGCCAACCGGAGACGGGGAGCCAAUCCAAUAAACCAGAUCCGUUUCCGGUUCGGAUCUUGCACUGCAACUUGUCGAAGUGAGACUGCAUUUUAUCGGAUUUUCGGAUUGUCCCGGUGAAUAC